CUUCUCUUUGGUAGCACAUGCACUAAAAUUGGAAUGAUACAGAGAAGAUUAGCAUGGCCCCUACAUAAGGAUGUCCUGCAAUUUCGUGAAAUAUACCAUAUUUUG
ensembl:snRNA U6 U6 spliceosomal RNA